rnacentral:rRNA from 1 species
CCUACGGGGGGCAGCAGUGGGGAAUAUUGCACAAUGGGCGAAAGCCUGAUGCAGCAACGCCGCGUGAAGGAAGAAGGGUUUCGGGUCGUAAACUUCUAUCAACAGGGACGAAAGAAAUGACGGUAACUGCAUAAGAAGCCCCGGCUAACUACGGCCGAGCAGCCGCGGUAAGACGUAGGGGGCAAGCGUUAUCCGGAAUUACUGGGUGUAAAGGGUCAGUAGGCGGCAUGUUAAGCCAGAUGUGAAAGCCUUGGGCUUAACCCGAGGAUUGCAUUUGGAACUAUCAAGCUAGAGUACAGUAGAGGAAAGCGGAAUUCCUAGUGUAGCGGUGAAAUGCGUAGAUAUUAGGAAGAACACCAGUGGCGAAGGCGGCUUUCUGGACUGAAACUGACGCUGAGGCACGAAAGUGUGGGGAGCGAACAGGAUUAGAUACCCCUGUAGUC